CUGGCGGCGUGCCUAAUACAUGCAAGUCGAACGGUCUUUUCUAUGGAAGCUUGCUUCCACUGAGAAGAUAGUGGCGAACGGGUGAGUAACACGUGGGUAACCUGCCCAUAAGAGGGGGAUAACAUCCGGAAACGGGUGCUAAUACCGCAUAGUUUUCUUGAUCGCAUGAUCGGGAAAGGAAAGACGGCCUUUGUGCUGUCGCUUAUGGAUGGACCCGCGGCGUAUUAGUUAGUUGGUGAGGUAACGGCUCACCAAGACGAUGAUACGUAGCCGACCUGAGAGGGUGAUCGGCCACAUUGGGACUGAGACACGGCCCAAACUCCUACGGGAGGCAGCAGUAGGGAAUCUUCCGCAAUGGACGAAAGUCUGACGGAGCAACGCCGCGUGAGUGAAAGAAGGUUUUCGGAUCGUAAAACUCUGUUGUCAGAGAAGAACAAGUUGGAGAGUAACUGCUCCAGCCUUGACGGUAUCUGACCAGAAAGCCACGGCUAACUACGUGCCAGCCGCGGC
rnacentral:rRNA from 1 species